UGCUACGGACAACUGUACGACAAUCCGGUCGAUUUUUUAUGCUCUCCGCAAAUGGACGCCGAACGAGUCGACCCAAAAGUAGUGCGUCUGCCACGGUCGAAGAAUGAAACGUCGCCAUUCAGAGGUCGUAUUAAGUAGGAGGUGCUCUUCUCACAACGAUAACCAACAACUUAACGUAACAAAUACCACAGCAUAGUUUAGACUAAUUUAAAAAUUCGCGCGUUCUUUUCAACUGUUUCUCAAUUUCAAAUUAUUCAAAAACAAAACCACCCAUACAGUUUAAUGUCAUAAUUGUAGCGCACCGAAGGGUGAUGGUAGUCUACAUAAGAGGUUCGUCAUCUAAUUUAGCGUCGAAAUCAGCAAGGAGGCGUCGAUGUGCUCGUUAAGCCGACGGAGGGCCAAUUAUGGGUUCAAGGAUGCGUCCUGAACAACGACGACGACGCUAAUUCGCUUAAACUUUAACAGCGCAGCCUGCUUAAGUGCGCCAUCACGACGGCCAGCGCCUUUUCCGUCCGCGGCCGGCCGCAAUUUUCAAACCGACAGGCGUGAAGAGCUCUCCAAGACCGCGAGACAAAGGAGCUUGGAAGAGUCUUUUCUGUCUGCGUGCUAAUGUGGAAGGAGCAAAUGUACACUUUUAAAUGGUCCUUAAGCUACAGGUAUUCCUCACUUAACGACUGAGAUAGGUUCGUACAAUUCGGACGUUAAACGAACAAUACCUAACAUAGUAAACAUUCGAACAUACUAUAUAACGUUAAACAAGUAGGUUAUUAAGUGAAGAAUGCCGGUAAUAAUCCUACAGCCUACCUAGGUAGGUAUUUCUCCAGUGUGCAGCGGAACAAACCGAUUAAAUAUAUUUAUUUUGAAAUUUAA